UCGGGGAACGAUAACGGCGUCGAGCGGCGGACGGGUGAGUAAUGCCUAGGAAAUUGCCCUGAUGUGGGGGAUAACCAUUGGAAACGAUGGCUAAUACCGCAUAACACCUUCGGGUCAAAGAGGGGGACCUUCGGGCCUCUCGCGUCAGGAUAUGCCUAGGUGGGAUUAGCUAGUUGGUGAGGUAAUGGCUCACCAAGGCGACGAUCCCUAGCUGGUCUGAGAGGAUGAUCAGCCACACUGGAACUGAGACACGGUCCAGACUCCUACGGGAGGCAGCAGUGGGGAAUAUUGCACAAUGGGCGCAAGCCUGAUGCAGCCAUGCCGCGUGUGUGAAGAAGGCCUUCGGGUUGUAAAGCACUUUCAGUCGUGAGGAAGGUAGUGUAGUUAAUAGCUGCAUUAUUUGACGUUAGCGACAGAAGAAGCACCGGCUAACUCCGUGCCAGCAGCCGCGGUAAUACGGAGGGUGCGAGCGUUAAUCGGAAUUACUGGGCGUAAAGCG
rnacentral:rRNA from 1 species